UACGGAAGGGGCAAGCGUUGUUCGGAAUCAUUGGGCGUAAAGGGCGCGUAGGCGGUCUUGUUUGUCUGCUGUGAAAGUCCACGGCUCACCCGUGGAGAGUCGGUGGAAACGGCAAGACUUGAGGCUGGGAGGGGUUGGUGGAAUUCCCUGUGUAGCGGUGAAAUGCGUAGAUACGGGGGAGAACACUCGUGGCGAAGGCGGCCAGCUGGCCCAGUCCUGACGCUGAGGCGCGACAGCGUGGGGAGCAAAC
rnacentral:rRNA from 1 species